rnacentral:rRNA from 1 species
AUUGAACGCUGGCGGCAGGCUUAACACAUGCAAGUCGAGCGGGGUGAUGGUGCUUGCACUAUCACUUAGCGGCGGACGGGUGAGUAAUGCUUAGGAAUCUGCCUAUUAGUGGGGGACAACAUCUCGAAAGGGAUGCUAAUACCGCAUACGUCCUACGGGAGAAAGCAGGGGAUCACUUGUGACCUUGCGCUAAUAGAUGAGCCUAAGUCGGAUUAGCUAGUUGGUGGGGUAAAGGCCUACCAAGGCGACGAUCUGUAGCGGGUCUGAGAGGAUGAUACGCCAGCAUGGGGCUGGGACACGGCCCAGAAUCCUACGGGGGGCAGCAGUGGGGAAAAGUGGACAAUGGGGGGAACCCUGAUCCAGCCAGGCCGCGUGUGUGAAGAAGGCCUUAAGGUUGUAAUGCACUUUAAGCGAGGAGGAGGCUCUUUUGGUUAAUACCCAAGAUGAGUGGACGUUACUCGCAGAAUAAGCACCGGCUAACUCUGUGCCAGCCGCCGCCGUAA